rnacentral:misc_RNA from 1 species
GAGACCUUACAUGAAUGUCAUAGACAAGAUGCUGAGUCAGAUGCUUAGCGAAGACCCCUCUUUUAAACCACAAGGGGGGAAUUUAGGAGAAAAUGAUAUGGAUUAUGACACUGAUGCAAAAACAAUGGCUGCACUUAGACGUCAGCUCGAGAUAGCUCGAGAGAAAUACUACCGAUACAAAAGCGAGUAUAUGAAUUUUGUAACUCAAGCACUUGAGCUGGAAGAUACCAUAAAGAACUUUGAGCACCGUAGUGGCACUGGAUGGAAAUACGUAUCAAGCUUCCGGCCUGAAAGAAGUGGAAGAUUAGGGUCUAUGCUGGACACGACAGGUGACCGUCAGAUUUUUUUUGUUCAUUCUGUAAGAUGGGCUUUCUCAAGUUCUG